rnacentral:lncRNA from 1 species
CUUCCGACCUCAUCAUCAUGUUCAAGCUCUUUCCUUUCUUCAAUGACUUGUGGCUCUUCCUUUGGCAAGCUCUUGACUUCGUUGGGUUGGUCCCUUUUGCCAUUUUCAACCUCUUCUUUGUCUUCGGAAGGGGUUUGCAGUUGCAAGGAAGAAGAUGCAUGCUUGUUGAAUUUUUCUUCGACGCAUGUUUGCACUAUCUCUUCUUGCUUCUUCUUGAUGAUAUGCUCAUGGCUUGCCCCAA